UCCCUAAGUACAGUGGCCAAAAGGGGACGGAUCGACGAUGGAUGUGAACGAAGACACGAAGCAGAGAGACGGCAAGCAAGAAAUGGGAGACAAACAGCCUUGGGAUUCCUGACUCAAUCUGUCACACUCCACUGAUCAAUGCGUCUCAUCCUCCCGUCCUUCCUCACUUACCUUCCCAAUGAACUAUGUAUUCCUUCAAUUGACCGCUGAGACCCUCUUCAGUAUUUUCUUCAGCGCCCAGAAGAUUAAUCUCUAAUACUCGUUUGGUUGGAUUGUCCUUUUCAUAUAAUAUCAUAAUUGGUGGACGUCUACUUCCUGCAAUAGUGUUCUAAGCUUUCGUGAGGCCAUUAGGUGCUACCGCAACUGUGCGGUCCUCUACACCUCAGAUCGUAAGGAUAUAAAUCAUAUUCCAAUGAAUCUAGACCUUUAUCUCGUCCUCAUUUUGGUGUCUGGACAUCGUUGUUACAAGGCCAAACCUGUCAUUACAAAGAAAGCUUGCAGGGGUCGUGAAAGCGAGAGUUCGAUGACCCAUAAUAAGAUGCCUCACCCCGCUUUCCGAGAAAGACAAGAGAGAGAGCAAACGGCAGUAGUAGGAGCAGUCUGCAAGCGUUCGAAAGAAGGCAGAGUAAGAGGAGUUGAAAAGGGUGCUCCCACGAAUAAUAUCAUUAAAUUCCACAGCUUGUCUCGUCCAGAGGUCGUCUCACAGAUCUGGGGCUGCCACAGUAGUAGUGGCAGUAGUACCAGCAAGAGGUGAUGGAAACGAGAAGAGGGAGGAGAAGACUCGGGUUGCAGGUAAAAGAUGUUGUAGUCUUAUGCUGCGGUUUCGUCUGCCUCUUCUCUCUUUGCGCUCUGCUUUCGAGCGUUCCUUUCUGCCAAAUCGUCGAUGUAGGUGUUGGAAGCUCAGUCACGGAGCCCUACCCUCAGGCGGCGGCGGCGGCGGCAGAGGCGAGGCGGAGGCAGCUUGUGGGCGGCGAGCCAGGGUCGGCCCCUCCACGGUGUACAGGCAAGUGCGGCGAAUGCACCCCGUGCCAACCCGUGCACGUGGCGCUGCCGCCCGGCACUCCAGUGACCACGGAGUAUUACCCGGAGGCGUGGCGGUGCAAGUGCGGCGACAGGCUCUACAUGCCCUAAGCGCUACCAUCUCUUGAGUUCUACGCCAUCCAAGGAAUAGUGCCAUCGAAGACCACUCACCUAUCUCCGCAUUGUUGACAUCGAUCGCUGUCGUGUACUGAUUCCAACUCCUUACGGAAUAGGACGAGCCCGUCAUCAACAAGGGAGGGAUGUCUGGACGUGGAAAGAUACUGUGGUGGGGGAGCCUUAUAUUUACACCCUUUUAGAUUCCAAUUUCGUCAUACGCAACCAAUACGUAUUUAUACAUACAAAGCCUCAACUUCU